ACGAACGCUGGCGGCGUGCUUAACACAUGCAAGUCGAACGAUGACGACCGAGCUUGCUCGGUCUGAUUAGUGGCGAACGGGUGAGUAACACGUGAGCAACCUGCCCUUCACUCUGGGAUAACCUCGGGAAAUCGGGGCUAAUACCGGAUAUGAGCUCCUGUCGCAUGGCGGGUGUUGGAAAGUUUUUCGGUGAAGGAUGGGCUCGCGGCCUAUCAGUUUGUUGGUGAGGUAGUGGCUCACCAAGGCGAUGACGGGUAGCCGGCCUGAGAGGGCGACCGGCCACACUGGGACUGAGACACGGCCCAGACUCCUACGGGAGGCAGCAGUGGGGAAUAUUGCACAAUGGGCGAAAGCCUGAUGCAGCGACGCCGCGUGAGGGAUGACGGCCUUCGGGUUGUAAACCUCUUUCAGCAGGGAAGAAGCGAAAGUGACGGUACCUGCAGAAGAGGCGCCGGCUAACUACGUG
rnacentral:rRNA from 1 species